UUGGACCACUACAUAGGCUUGAUUCAACCAUGCCAAGUAGUGAGUCUGUGAAAUUAUUGUGUCAUGUAUCUCUUAAGCAUACAAGCACUGAGGUGUUCAACCCUAGUCGGGUCAAAGGUUUAACAGCUAUUUGAAUGAGGCCAAUGUGUAAAUAUUUGUAAUUAUUUUCUUUAUGUUUUUCAAUAAUUUUUCUUGAUAGUAGUUGAAAGUCUUCUUGAUUCUGAGUUACAGAUAAACUUU
rnacentral:lncRNA from 1 species